UACGGGGGGGGCAAGCGUUGUUCGGAAUUACUGGGCGUAAAGGGCUCGUAGGCGGCCAACUAAGUCAGACGUGAAAUCCCUCGGCUUAACCGGGGAGCUGCAUCUGAUACUGGAUGGCUUGAGUUCGGGAGAGGGAUGCGGAAUUCCAGGUGUAGCGGUGAAAUGCGUAGAUAUCUGGAGGAACACCGGUGGCGAAGGCGGCAUCCUGGACCGACACUGACGCUGAGGCACGAAAGCGUGGGGAGCAAACAGG
rnacentral:rRNA from 1 species